rnacentral:lncRNA from 1 species
GUCAUCUUAAUUUGAUUUGAACCAGCUACCAAUUUUGGCCUGCCGAAGUUGUUAUCCAGAAUCACCUCUCCCUCUACAGAAUUCCGAGUGUUGUAAUCUAGUUUAUCAUUCCCAUUAGGUUUUUCAAGUGGCAGCAAACAGUCAUCAUUACUAACAUCAACUUCAGGAUUGCAUAUCUUGAGGGUGUCCAUCCUUCCAUCAACACGUUUUAGAUGGUCCUGUCUAAUCCAAUUAUCUACUACAUCUGAUUUAGAAACAACACCAGUAAACUCAUUAGUAUUUUUUCUCGGAGAUCCUUGAAUCAUGCACUUGGAAGUUAGUAUAGCUGUUCUAUCAACCAUAGGGAUAAGCAAGCUUGAUUGCCUCAUUCCAGAAGUCAUCUCUCUGUUUGAUGCAUAAACAGAUAAUUAUAAGCUAGUUUUCCGGUCUCUGAAGAGAGUAGCAGAAAAUAGAAACCAGAACCAUUAAUAAUGAGUCACAGACCAUGCGCUCUUGCUCUGAAGGCUUUCCCGCAAAACACCUAUCAGUAAUUCGUUUGAUUGCAACAUCAGUGCCCCUCCAUUUUCCAUGGUAAACAGUCCCAAAGGUACCAGAACCCAAUUCUGUCAGCUCUUCAAGGUGACAGUUCUUUAUAACCUGGCAAAGUUCCAACAGCAAGGUAUUAGCUCAGCUGAGCAGACGGCAUAAAAGCAUAGAAGAGGAAACAUAUGGAAGACAUUCAACCUGCAAUCUCCCAACACCCGAUGCCGGAAAGCCAAAACAUGCCUUUUCUGGUGGCUUGCUCUUGGCAUCCUAAAUGAGGAAAAAUAAUAUUUACAAUAAUGUGAUAAAAUAGCAUAGGAAGGAGAGCGGCAUUAAAAAUUGUUCAUUAUGGAGAUUAUUUUUGCCAAUCUGGGAAAAAGAAGAAAAUACAAAUACUGAGGAAUAUGUAAACAAAAUCACCAGAGUUUUAUUUCUACACAUUACAUCUAUUAGAUUAUCUUGAACAUCGCAAUCCUCAAUGUUUUCAUGAGAGGAAACAUCUUCGGCAUGCAGGUUAGGAUUUGGAGGAGAGCAUGGGUGCAGAACAGAAGCUGCUACAUCUUCUGCAACAGCUUGAAGUUGUUCUUCUUCUUCUGUUGAGCCUUCAAUAAAGAAACCAAAACACACUGAGUAUGUGCUAUGAGCUCCACAACUAUCGAUCAGCAACAAAGUUAUACAUUUUAGGACUUACAACAAUUUACAGACCUUUGGCUGACUGACCAUGUUCAAAAGUUAAGUUCUGUAUGAACGACUGGUAGAGGCCUUCAUCCAAUUGUGCUUCUGAAAUUUGUUUCCCAAAGCUGCCUGGAUUCUCACCAAAGUGAUCCCUGGGAGAAUAGGUUUCUUUCAUCAAUGUAGUGUUGUUAGGUCUAGCAGGUGGAAAGAAGGUACCAUGCUGUAUAGCCCAGGGAUCUUGAUUGCUGAAAAGUGAGUUUGGAGAAUUCUGUACAUCUCCAAACCUGACAGAUGAUGAUAAUGAAGAGGAUGAUGUAUCAUCCUUGACGGUGUUUCCAACCACAGGGGGUCGUGCUACCUCAUUGUAUUCCCCUGGCCUGGAAUUGUGACCAAAUGAAAUUUCUUCAGAAGAACACGGCAGCACGCCCGUCAUCUUAAUUUGAUUUGAACCAGCUACCAAUUUUGGCCUGCCGAAGUUGUUAUCCAGAAUCACCUCUCCCUCUACAGAAUUCCGAGUGUUGUAAUCUAGUUUAUCAUUCCCAUUAGGUUUUUCAAGUGGCAGCAAACAGUCAUCAUUACUAACAUCAACUUCAGGAUUGCAUAUCUUGAGGGUGUCCAUCCUUCCAUCAACACGUUUUAGAUGGUCCUGUCUAAUCCAA